rnacentral:rRNA from 1 species
AGGAUAAACGCUGGCGGCGUGCCUAACACAUGCAAGUCGAACGCGCUUUCGGGCUUCGGUGCGAGAGCGAGUGGCGGACGGGUGAGUAACACAUGGGUACCUACCUUGGAGUGAGGGAUACCGGCGAGAAAUCGCCGACAAUACCGCAUAGGCUUCUUCACAAGGGAAGCAAAGUGACGCGAGUCACGCUGUGAGAUGGGCCUGUGGCCGAUUAGCUAGUUGGGGGGGUAACGGCUUCCCAAGGCGACGAUCGGUAGCUGGUCUGAGAGGACGAUCAGCCACACUGGGAUUGAGAACGGCCCAGACUCCUACGGGGGGCAGCAGUGAGGAAUUUUCCGCAAUGGAGGCAACUCUGACGGAGCAACGCCGCGUGCAGGAGGAAGGUUUUCGGAUCGUAAACUGCUUUUCGUCGGGGACGAGCAAGGACGGUACCCGAGGAACGAAGCCCCGGCUAACUACGUGCCAGCAGCCGC